GUCCUUUUGAAUUUAAUUUAAGGUCUGGCCUGCCCAGUGAUUAAUUUAACGGCCGCGGUAUACUGACCGUGCAAAGGUAGCAUAAUCAUUAGUCUUUUAAUAGAGGGCUGGAAUGAAAGGUUUAACGAGGAACUGACUGUCUCAUUUUAUUUGUAUUAAAAUUUAAUUUUUUAGUUAAAAAGCUAAAAUUUAAUUGGAAGACGAGAAGACCCUAUAGAUCUUUAUAUAGUCUAUUAAAUUUGUAACAUAUUAAUACAUUUUAUGAAAGCUGUAUUUUGUUGGGGUGACAAAAAUAUAAAACUAACUUUUUUAUCAAUUAACCAUUAAUUUAUGAAAAUUAGAUCCACUCUUAGUGAUUAUUAGACUAAGUUACCUUAGGGAUAACAGCGUAAUCCUCUUCCAGAGUUCAUAUUUACAAGGGGGCUUGCGACCUCGAUGUUGGAUUAAGAUAAUAAUUAGGUGUAGUCGCUUAAUAUAUAGGUCUGUUCGACCUUUAAAUUCUU
rnacentral:rRNA from 1 species